GAUGAACGCUGGCGGCGUGCCUAAUACAUGCAAGUCGAGCGAACGGACGAGAAGCUUGCUUCUCUGAUGUUAGCGGCGGACGGGUGAGUAACACGUGGAUAACCUACCUAUAAGACUGGGAUAACUUCGGGAAACCGGAGCUAAUACCGGAUAAUAUUUUGAACCGCAUGGGUCAAAAGUGAAAGACGGUCUUGCUGUCACUUAUAGAUGGAUCCGCGCUGCAUUAGCUAGUUGGUAAGGUAACGGCUUACCAAGGCAACGAUGCAUAGCCGACCUGAGAGGGUGAUCGGCCACACUGGAACGGAGACGCGGUCCAGACUCCUACGGGAGGCAGCAGUAGGGAAUCUUCCGCAAUGGGCGAAAGCAUGACGGAGCGACGCCGCGUGAGUGAUGGAGGUCUUCGGAUCGUAAAGCUCUGUUAUUAGGGAAGAACAUAUGUGUAAGUAACUGUGCACAUCUUGACGGUAAUUAGUCAGAAAGCCACGGCUAACUACGUG
rnacentral:rRNA from 1 species